UUCUUGAAAUGAACUAACAGAGUAGAAAGCUUCCAACAAAAUAUUUCACACAAAACCAAAAACUUAAAAUAACACAACAAAUAUAUCGACAGCACUGCAGAUGAAUCGAAACCACAGAUUACGGAUAACAUAGAUAGAACACUCGCCUUCCCCCACCCGAAAUUAAGUUUUAGUUCUUGGCCCAAGCGCUUGGAACCGCUGCAAGUCAUUUGUUUACGCAUAGACAAAUAAAGAGAAGACUGACAACUGCAUAGAGUCGUUUGAAAUGUUGAUGCUAGCGACCCGAGGGACAGGGUUAGGAACUAAUGUAUCGCUAUUUCACACAAAAACAUAUUUCAUCCUUACCUACUGUAUCUACUGAUGAAAUGUUUUCGGCGUAAAUUCCAACCUCUCUUUUGUGUUUUAGUUCUCUCCUGAUGCAGGUUCAAGUUUGUUAAUAAUAAUAACAAUCUUUAUUUCAGAAGGUUCUCAUUUACAAAAAAAGAACAAAUGAAACACUGUCAAAAACUUUACAUAAAAAAAUCCUAAAUUUUAGAGGGUUCCAGUUGAGUUAAAUGAUCAUGUAGGUUUCAAAAGUCUUACGUUGGAGUUCUGCCAAAGAAUUGAAGAUUCCAAUUCUAAAUCAAUCCUUCGAUUUCCUGGAUAUUUGUCAGUAAUCACAAAAAUAAUUAUUUCAUCUUCAAAUGAAAUGUUUCCUUCUUUAAUAUUUAAGUGGUACAAUACGAUAUAUAUAAUUUGAUUCAAUUAUUUCAUUAAUUUCUGUUCACAAAUAUCAAUUUGUAUAAUUAUGUGCAAUAAAAAGUAUGUCAAAA